GUCCCUUCGGGGACGUCCGAUAAAAUUGGAAUGAUAGAGAAGAUUAGCAUGGCCCCCGCACAAGCACGAAAUGCAACAUUUUUGU
rnacentral:snRNA from 1 species